GACGAACGCUGGCGGCGUGCUUAACACAUGCAAGUCGAACGGAGAUUCAGCAAUGGAUCUUAGUGGCGAACGGGUGAGUAACGCGUAGGCAAUCUGCCUUCUAGAUGGGGACAACAUCCCGAAAGGGGUGCUAAUACCGAAUGUUGUACCGUUUCCGCAUGGAGAUGAUACUAAAGGUGGCCUCUGAAUAUGCUACCGCUAGAAGAUGAGCCUGCGUCUGAUUAGCUAGUUGGAGGGGUAACGGCCCACCAAGGCUUCGAUCAGUAGCCGGUCUGGGAGGAUGAACGGCCACACUGGGACUGAGACACGGCCCAGACUCCUACGGGGGGCAGCAGUGGGGAAUCUUCCGCAAUGGACGAAAGUCUGACGGAGCAACGCCGCGUGAGUGAAGAAGGUUUUCGGAUCGUAAAGCUCUUUCGUUAGGGACGAACGUGCUCCUUGUGAAUAAUGAGGAGUAAUGACGGUACCUAAAUAAGAAGCCACGGCUAACUACGUGCCAGCCGCCGCGGUAAGAC
rnacentral:rRNA from 1 species